rnacentral:rRNA from 1 species
AUACGGAGGGUGCAAGCGUUAUUCGGAAUCACUGGGCGUAAAGGGUGCGUAGGCGGUUUGAUAAGUCUGAUGUGAAAUCCUAUGGCUCAACCAUAGAACUGCAUUGGAAACUGUCAGACUAGAAUACUGAAGGGGCAGAUGGAAUUAGUGGUGUAGGGGUAAAAUCCGUAGAUAUCACUAGGAAUACCGAAAGCGAAAGCGAUCUGCUGGGAAGUUAUUGACGCUGAGGCACGGAAGCGUGGGGAGCAAACGGGAUUAGAAACCCUAGUAGUCC